rnacentral:rRNA from 1 species
UACGUAGGGGGCUAGCGUUGUCCGGAUUUAUUGGGCGUAAAGAGCGUGUAGGCGGCCAGGUAGGUCUGCUGUGAAAACUCGAGGCUCAACCUCGAGACGUCGGCGGAAACCAUGUGGCUAGAGUCCGGAAGAGGAGAGUGGAAUCCUGGUGUAGCGGUGAAAUGCGCAGAUAAUCUGGAGGAACACCGGUGGCGAAGGCGGCAUCCUGGACCGGUAUUGACGCUGAGGCGCGAAAGCGUGGGUAGCAAACAGG